UGUUGUUUCAAUCUUACAUGCAAAUAAGGAACGAAGAAGUGGGAACUCAUGUGCAACUUCAGUGUCAUGCAAAACCUGUUCAUCCUGAAGCAGUAGCAGAAGAUGUCUAACUUAAAAGCAGGAGAAACCUGAUGACAGCUUGCAAGUGGAAUGAUAAUGGCUACGUUUGUAAUGACACACUUGCUGGGGCUCUGUCUUUUUUGCUUUCACCUUACAAGUCAAGACAGCUGUAAUGCCCCAGGUAAUCUUACUGCAC